UUAGUUUCAGUUUGUGGGACAGACAGAAUGUCUCUCUCUCUCUCUCUCUCUCUCUCUCUCUUACUAUAUAUAUAUAUAUAUAUAUAUAUAUAUAUAUAUAUAUAUAUAUAUAGCAAUAAGAAAAUGGAGGGGAAUAUGUGGUAUUCAUCAACUUGCAGACAUUGUAUUAUGUCAAUUUACCUGUUUAUUUUUCAACUAAGAGGACAAUAAAAACCAUAUAGAAACACAUGUGACAUAUUAUGUCAUAUCAGUAAUUAAAAAGGACAUCUAGUGAUCGAAGAUGGGACAAUGUCUUACAGCUGUAAGCGAAAGCAAGAGCGACCAUGAGAUGGAGAAUAGGAAGCUGGACAUAGUCUUAAUUGAGAAAGAAGACAAACUAUGCUGGAUCAUAGAUACAGCAUGCCAGUGGUUCGGCUAAAAAGACAGAUAGAAUAUAUGAGAAUUUUUAUCAUUAAUUACGACCAUUGCUUCAACACAUCUUCUAGCAUCGAUCCUUCACGGGUGGGACACUCAACAACUGAUUCAGGAGCAUCCGGUGGUGCAGAUAUAUCUCAUCGAGUGAUAAAUAGAUACAAUACAUUAAAAUAAAGUUUCUGCAAUGUAUCCGCUCAUUUUAGUGAAAGGAAAAGCCGUAAAACGAAGGAAAUAUCUUCUGUAACAUAGACGAUCGGAAAUAAAAUGGCUGAUGGAAAAAUCCAACGAACAAGCAAUACAACGAAAAAAAUAUUAAAAAUAACCGUUAACAGAUACGGAUGUAUGGACAUAACUGUUUGGAAUGAGUUAUAGCAAUCAAUAUUUUCAGAAGAACAUUGUCUUAAUACUCAUCUCAGUGGUUAUAAUUGUGCGUAUGCAUGUAUGUAUAUGUUUAAGUACAUAUAUGCAUACGCACGUGAGUGUGCGUGAGUGCAUUUCGUGUGCAUAUGUUGCAUUAUCUUUUAUGUGAAAUAUAAACCUUGAGAAAUAAAAAAAAUAUUAGAACAUUUCCAUUAUUAAUGAAA